AACGCGAAGAACCUUACCUGGGCUCGAACGGCUUUGGCAAACUCGUGGAAACAUGGGUCCUCCCGCAAGGGACCGGAGUCGAGGUGCUGCAUGGCUGUCGUCAGCUCGUGUCGUGAGAUGUUGGGUUAAGUCCCGCAACGAGCGCAACCCUUGUCCUGUUUUGGCAUGCCGCAAGGCGCAACUAUCAGGAGACCGCCAGCGAUAAGUUGGAGGAAGGUGGGGAUGACGUCAAGUCAUCAUGGCCUUUAUGUCCAGGGCCACACACGUGCUACAAUGGGCGGUACAAAGCGCUGCGAACCCGCGAGGGGAAGCUAAUCGCAAAAAACCGUCCUCAGUUCGGAUCGCAGGCUGCAAUUCGCCUGCGUGAAGCUGGAAUCGCUAGUAAUGCCGUAUCAGAACGACGGCGUGAAUACGUUCCCGGGCCUUGUACACACCGCGUGUCU
rnacentral:rRNA from 1 species